rnacentral:tRNA from 1 species
GCCCCCAUAGCCCAAUUGGCAGAGGCAGAUGACUUAAAAUCAUCCAAGUGUGGGUUCGAGUCCCACUGGGGGUA